UGGGGCGUCGCCAAGUGGUAAGGCACCAGGUUUUGAUCCUGGCAUUCGCAGGUUCGAAUCCUGCCGCCCCAGCCA
rnacentral:tRNA from 1 species